GGGCAUCAUGUCGGGGUGUCGAGGUGUCAAGGUGUCAUUUUCUUCUUCAUCAUCUUCUUUUUUUUCCUCGUCUUCCUUUUCUUGUUCUUCUUCUUCCUUCCUUCCUUUUCUUCUUCUUCUUCUUCUUCUCUUCUUCUUCUUCCUUCUUUUCCAUUUCCCUCUUCUUCUUCUUCUUCUUCUUCUUCUUCUUCUUCUUCUUCUUCUUCUUCCUUCUUUUCCUGUUUCGUCUUCUUUAUUCUUAUCCUCUCUCCUCUUUUUCUUCUUCUUCUUUUU
rnacentral:lncRNA from 1 species